rnacentral:rRNA from 1 species
UACGGGGGGGGCAAGCAUUGUUCGGAAUUACUGGGCGUAAAGGGCUCGUAGGUGGCCAACUAAGUCAGACGUGAAAUCCCUCGGCUUAACCGGGGAACUGCGUCUGAUACUGGAUGGCUUGAGUUCGGGAGAGGGAUGCGGAAUUCCAGGUGUAGCGGUGAAAUGCGUAGAUAUCUGGAGGAACACCGGUGGCGAAGGCGGCAUCCUGGACCGACACUGACACUGAGGAGCGAAAGCCAGGGGAGCAAACGGG